UGAGGUAACCUUACGGAGCCAGCCGUCGAAGGUGGGGGCGAUGAUUGGGGUGAAGUCGUAACAAGGUAGCCGUAUCGGAAGGUGCGGCUGGAUCACCUCCUUUCUAGGGAA
rnacentral:rRNA from 1 species